AGCACACUAGGGUUUGAGACACAGCUUCUGUGAUGGUGAUCAUGAAGAAAGGUAGAGAUGCUGCGGCUGAACAUCAGAUUUCUGUCCACGACGGAGGGUUUGAUCUCUCUGUGAAGGUCACCUGUUUUGAUGUUUACCAGGUAAUGCUUUGAAUUUUGUCUCAUGCUGGGAUCAUAGGGUUCAGAAAGAUGAUAUGUCUCUCUGAACUACUAGUUAAUUUACUUAAUUGCUAUAUUAAUUUACAGUGACAGACAGUGUCCAUACCGAUUAGGUAAUGUCAGACAUCUGUUUGAAUGUGACAAAAAAAAAAGCCUCAUGCUUUGAUAAUUAAUCAUCAUCAGAUAGCAAAUAUGUAGACAUGUAAUAAACGAUAUGCGAUUCUAAAAAAAAAAAAAAACUGUUUAUUCACAAAUAGCAGUUCUUUCUGCGUCUCUUGUUUUAUACAUGGCUUAUGGGGGUGGAGGUUUUGCGUGGAAGGGGUUUGAAGGCACUUGAAGAGGACCUUAGUGAGAACAGCUGGAGCAGGGCUGGAGACCAUUCUCGUUGCACGAUGUGCACUUCAGGGCUUUGAAGGAGUCGGUGAAGCAGUUGCGAAACACAGACAUUUUGCUGCCAUGGCACAUAGGGCACGGGACAAAGGCAUAUCCCCCACACGUCUGGCAUGUGUCGGAGUGCUGAACCCUCUACCAUCAGACAAAGAAACAGAGACAAGAAUGUGAGUGCAUUUGAAUGACAUACCUGACCCAUGUGCACAUUCUCUUGGAGAUUCAAUCUGAGUGAUGCUUUAUUUAUUUAAUAAAAUAAGACAAAUGCACGCUUGACUUUAUCGAUCAUUUUGGGAUGUUCGGGCACACUGGUUAUGUAAAUGCACAAUAAUAUUUUGAGCUUGCUAUUAUUAGUACUUUUAUUUUGAAAUCAUUUGCAAUCAUUGAGGGGACCCAAUCUCACAGGAAGAUGUAACUAUUUUACAUAGUGGCGAUUUCUUCUGAAAGUAUACAAUGUCAAUCAUACAAAAACAAACAAUUUUUAGGAAAAAGUAAGCAUGAAGGUCACUCCAAAAUGGUAUGAGAUUGCAUAAAUUCAUAUUAGUUUUUGAAAAUGUAACGUAGUUACAAAUUUGCCUCAAGGUUAUGUUGAAAUUAUUGAUAUUCAUUAUAUUUGAGAUACCACUGUAUAGCAAAUUGUACCUGCCAAAUGCAUACAUGUAAUGUAAACAAUAUUAAUCACUGAUAAAUAAUGCAGUAUUUGUGUAAAAAGCUAUAAUGAACUGUAAUAAUAAACCUUUCUUGUCACAAA